AGCUGGCGUCCAGCUCUAAGUACACACAUCGAUGACGACGCCAACCCGACGCGAGUCGCCCGGCGUUUUCUUCGACCAUCGUCAUCCGAUUCCCAACCCGAGAAGGAGUUCGUCGCGUUGCAGAAAUAUGCGAAACGAGAGCCGGCUUGGUUGUCAUCGCCCCCUUUUGCGUUCAAAUAUCUCGCUUCCCACCACCACCAGAACCAUCACCGAAGUGAUCGCCGACCAAGAAGAGGACCGACCGCUACAUCCUGGGGCUCGAUCUUUCUGACGCCUGGACGACUGCCAGAUCCAGCUCCCCUCUGCUUCGCCCCCCUACUCGUGCAGAAUCCCAACACAGAGGACGAUUUUUCCUCCGCGCACACGUAUUUUGGGAUCAAGCAACAAAGAAAAACCAGAUUUUAACAUAGCACACCUAAUCUUGGCCAUCUGAUUAAUUUAGAGCUGUAACGACAUCCAUGACGCUGGGGCUUCUCAGGAUUUUCUGGAUCACUCUCACUAGGUUCCAUAAGCAAUGCCCGAAGGCAGCGUCUUCUAAUUCUGGGCUCACGAGUUGGUUUCUGGCUUUGGAUUGGCUUGGAAGGUGUCUUUUCAGUCUCCAGGGGUUCCACUGUUCUUUUGGAAACCAAGGUUUCCUUAGUUCUGGAGAGAUUCAAAUGGACGCCUGGGUUUCUGACACUGCAGGAACUUUCAUCGACAGCUGAGUUGUUGAUGCUUUGCACAUUGUUGUUAAUGCUGGUUGUAAAUGCCCCCUUUCCACUAUGCUGCCACUUUUCUUCACUGCAACUGCCUCUUGCAUCAACCUUCUCCUUGUCGAGCUUUUGAUCCUUGUGGGCAUGGUAGAAAUUCUCUCUAUCGGUACCCUCAUAACCUAUAAUCAUGGAUGCUCCACUGUUAUUGCCAGCCAAAGUAAGUACAUUUGUCGAUAGUCCAUUCCUCACCCCACCAGAAUAUCCAGUACCUAUCUUCUGUAACAGUUUAGAAAGCCCUUCCUUGAUCUCCUCCUUGAACAUGGCUCUCUUGCCAUCAUAGAAUGAAUCUUGUGGGAUAGUUGAAAUUGCAAUUUUCUGUUCCUCUCUGGUGGAACCAUCUUUUGUAUGCUCAGCAGUAUCGGUAUCCUUCCUGUGUUCUGCAUUUGAGUUAAUGGAUAGUGAGACUAAUCCACUUUGUGUGGGGGAUGUGAUCAGGCUGUUCUCAGAUGUCGUGCUGAGUUGCUUGACUUCUCCCUGUUCCUUCGACUUGUUGCGUUCUCCAGUGAAGGGCUUCUCUUCUGUGUCUGGUGUUGUCCUAAGCUUGUCUCUAUUAGUCCCUUCAGGUGUUGAAUAUGAAUUUGGGGCUUUGGUGGGAUUCUUAGGGUGGUUUGUUGUUAACUUUAGUUUAUGCUUCUCUUCUGCAGUUUGUUUGUUUGUAUCUUCCAACUUUCGAGAUUGAGAAGGCUCGGUUUCUUCUAAUUUAAUCUUCUCUCUUUGUUCUUUAGGUGUUGACGGCUGGGGUAAAGAAAUGGAGUACGAUUCUAGAGGUUUAUUCUCCAGCGAAUUGGUUGAUACAAGCAGCAAAUUUGGUUCCUGCAAAAUGUGGUUUCUUGUCGGCUUAGGAUUUGAAUCUUUUGUAAGAGGGAUAGCACGGGCCUGAGAUUUAGGAUGCAAUAUGGUUGGUGACGCGGACGCUAAUGUUGGCUGGGAUUCAUGGGCCAAUGACAAUGGCUGGUUCGAAGGAGAUGUUCUCUUUGCAGGUGAUGAAGAUUGUGAGUCAGAUGCAAGAGCUUGAGAUGAGAGCCGAGACUUCACCUGAGUUGAUGCAGUUUGUAAUGCGGAUUGGGACCUGAGAUUUCUUGCUACUGCAGCUUGCUUAUCUGAGUUGAUCGGAGACGGUUGUGGGGACUGAGGCCGUGAUCGCUGCUGUUCAUUUGCAUUUCUGGCUUGGGGACGAGAUGAUGGACGGUUUCGCGACGAAGCCAGUGGUGGUGAUGGUUGAGGAACUCUUCGGGUUGCGGUCGGUGAGGACGGUGAUGAGGAUGUUGUAUGAUCCAAAGGUUGCGAUGCAUCGCGACGCAGGGAUUUCUGUCGAGUUGGAUCGUGUUGUCGCGGAGUGCUACUCCUUGUCGGGUGAGUCCAGGCAGGCAGCCAGAAGCGAAAUGGCUGUGACUGGCUUCGUCUGUCCGCCAUACCUGCCUUGAGAGAGAACCGACUGUAGAAGGCUUACUAAAGAGAGCGGAUAAAGGAUGUCAGGUUGUCUAUAGAUCCAUGGCUUGAACGGGUUCAUGUGCAUCUGAUUCCUCCCUCCACGCGGCCUGUAAGUUUGGUAUCUCUUAUAACUUCUUUUCUUGAGAACUCGGACUUC